UACGGAGGGGGCUAGCGUUGUUCGGAAUUACUGGGCGUAAAGCGCACGUAGGCGGCUUUGUAAGUUAGAGGUGAAAGCCCAGGGCUUAACCCUGGAAUUGCCUUUAAGACUGCAUCGCUUGAAUCGUGGAGAGGUGAGUGGAAUUCCGAGUGUAGAGGUGAAAUUCGUAGAUAUUCGCAAGAACACCAGUGGCGAAGGCGGCUCACUGGCCCGAUACUGACGCUGAGGCACGAAAGCGUGGGGAGCAAACAGG
rnacentral:rRNA from 1 species